GCACAAGCGGUGGAUGAUGUGGAUUAAUUCGAUGCAACGACGAAAACCUUACCUACCCUUGACAUGUCCGGAAUCCCGAAGAGAUUUGGGAGUGCUCGCAAGAGAACCGGAACACAGGUGCUGCAUGGCUGUCGUCAGCUCGUGUCGUGAGAUGUUGGGUUAAGUCCCGCAACGAGCGCAACCCUUGUCAUUAGUUGCCAUCAUUUGGUUGGGCACUCUAAUGAGACUGCCGGUGACAAACCGGAGGAAGGUGGGGAUGACGUCAAGUCCUCAUGGCCCUUAUGGGUAGGGCUUCACACGUCAUACAAUGGUCGGUACAGAGGGUUGCCAACCCGCGAGGGGGAGCUAAUCCCACAAAGCCGAUCGUAGUCCGGAUCGCAGUCUGCAACUCGACUGCGUGAAGUCGGAAUCGCUAGUAAUCGUGGAUCAGCAUGUCACGGUGAAUACGUUCCCGGGUCUU
rnacentral:rRNA from 1 species